UAUUAUUAUUAUUAGUAUUUUUCAGUGUGUGCACCAGAUAGGCCCUAAAUUUAUCCUUGACAGUCGACGCUAUCAACAAAAUUUUAACAUCCAUAAAGGAACCCUAGUCGGAGCAGAAUUAAGAAAAUGUGAAUCAUUUUCACAUAAAUGAAGACAAGGCCUUCUCCCAGAUCCCAUUUUGGUGGGAUCAUUCAUAGCUAGGGUUCGGCCUUUCGUUUCUGGUACCACCUUGGUCACGAACAAAAUGCCCAGUGCAUUGACUACAGCAUAAAGAACAAAGUUACCAGCCAUCUGGGAGACUCUGGAAUGAGAAAUAGGCCAAAAAGCAGAAUAGCACAGGGGAUAAGUUCUGCAACCAUUUCAUAUAGUAAGCCUCCUGUUCUAAAAUGAUUUGCUGUGCGUUCUUAUUAGAAGUCUUUUUUGUUUUCCAAAAACUAUGACUAUUGCUAUGCUUACUAUGCUUUUUUGAUGCUUGCAUAUUGGAUAUAAUAGAUCAAGAAAAUUUACCCGUUAAUGCCAGAGCCCUCCAUGUUAGUACUGUCCCUAUUACGUAGAAAAAAGACACCCCACUGCAUAUCAUAAGCUGUAAAAUAAGAUGAAAUUAUUAGAUAUGAUCCUUUUACCUAUGAUCUUCAUUCUUUUUUUUCAUUUCUAUAAUUCAGAAAACUGACUCUAUCCAAUUUUGUUAUAACAUUACCUGAUUUAGAGUUCUUAAGGCUCUACAAAGAUUUUUGGGUGCAAUUUCAACUAUGAAGACAGGUACAUUGGAAUCCAACUCAACAUUGCCAUCGAAGUCAAGAGCAAAUAGCAAUCUAUUUUUAUUAAUUAAAAAAGAUGUCCUAAGAAGUAAAUGCUGCAAGAUAAGAAAAAUGUACCACAUAGGAAAAGACUCCCAUCCUGUAUCCUGUUGCCAGUCUUCCAAUGUCCAAUGCCAAAGCCCCCUUUUGCAUAAAUCAAGACAAAGGUAUGUCACAUCUCUGGAAAACAUUUUUGCUGUUAUUCAGCUGAAUCAAUGAUUUAGAGUAAAUGAAAAGCCAGCCUGCAACACAGAAGGCAGUAGACGCUCUCAUUGCCUGCAUCCAUUCCUUGUGUUCACAAGGUUAUAUAUAUGGUAGAUAUCCAUUGGAAAAAAAAAAAUAUUCAAGGAUUGGUUCCUACUCAAGUAGUGCAGCUCAAUCCCUACAGAUACAUCAGAACAUCACUUUCUUACCCUUUUCCGACCAAUAAAAUCAGCAAUUGGCCCACUUGUGAUUGCACCAAUCAUUGCACCAAAUGUCAAUAUGGAACCAACGAUAGAAUGCUGCAUACAACACAGGCUAUUACAAAUCAGUUUGGAAGUUAUGAUCUCAAGCGUUGGUUUUCUGUAUGUAGGCCUGUUUUUAUUCAAAAUUGUUUGAUCAUUCAUAGACAUCAUAAAUCAUUGCUAAUAGUGAUUACUACCAAUGAUUUAAGUUUUUAGGCCAGACUUGUUGUGAUGAAUUCCAAAUCAUUGCAGUUUUCCAACUUAAUCCUUGAAUUUGAGAAUCACAAGUGCUUUAAUCACUGUAUUUGGGGUUGGCUGAUUGAAAUCUGGUGAGGGAAAGAAGCAUAAAUAGGCCUCAGAAGAGUUGAGCGAUAUGUAAUAGUACUAGAACUCAUUACUCUCAGCGAAGUAAAUGGGCAUUUUCAUAUUGUUCUGCAUCAUAUUGAAAGAUGUUGUUGCAUGAGAUAUUGAGAUCCCCAUGCAAAUUUUCUUAUGCUUAUGACUAUAUUAUUAUCCAAAAUUCUAUAGAAGGAUAGAUGCUUAAUAGAUAAGGGACAAGUCAUUUACAUAACUCUGCCAGAGACAGAGAAAGAUCUUCUGUUAUUGCAUCCUGAGUAGGUGAGGAAUAGCCUACCUGAAAAUAAACAGUAAAUUAGAGCAUAACAUUGCAGGACCAAAUUCGAUUCCUAAGCUUAUUCUGAAUAUGCAAGUUCCUGAAACUACUUUCCAAAAGAAAUGAGGUACUAACACAGCAUCCAAAUUCAAAAGAACCACACACAGCUACCAACGUGGUGAAGUAAACCAUCCAUUCUCUCUGUUUGUUGCUAUUCUGUUCUCUAGAUCCAUCCUCCUCAUCUGCUAGAUUCUUCCCAAUGAGUGGCUCUCUCAUUUCUUUGUGCACUCCAUUGUUAGCAUUAUCAUUACCAUUUUCUAUGUCCUCUUUGAUGCCCAUGCCUUUCUCAAUUUAAAUUCCACUAAGUUUAUCUUUAUAUGGUUGGGAAAGAGAACAAGUCUGAAGAAAUGCUUUUAAGGUCACAGAAGAUAUGGAAAAAUGGAAGGAAGAAAAUCUUUUACAAAGUAUGGAUGGAAACCACCUAACGUCAAUUUGUACUUUCUGUCCAUGUAAUGAGUUAUUGACUUGUCUUUUGCAUGCAUGUUAAUUGAAAAGGUUGAGUUGUUCUUGACUUUCAAGUGUACACGUCAGAGGAUAUAUUCUCUUCUUCUUCUUCUUCUCUCUUGCUGUCUCUCUCUUUCUCUUUAAAAUAAGGGUAAGGAAAUAGAAUUUGAAUAAGAAUAAGAAUGAGAAAAAUUAGAAAUAAUUGAUUGAGAUAGAAUUAUAAAAAAAAAAAAAAAAGUGAUCCUGAACUAUCACCUAGAUUGUGGUGUUCCAGUGGGAUCAUCUCAUGAAUAUUUAAAUGAACAAUAAAACUGAGUAGGAGUAGCUGUUUUUUUUUUCUUUUUUGCUUUUUUUCUUUUUUUCUUGUUCACCCUGAACUCAAUUCCAAGCUUUGCAACUUGCAUUAUCCGUUGUUGAUAUCACUUAAGUGGCUAUUUUUGCUUGAAAAUAAUUCAAUACUCUUUUGCUCAUUUUUACCCUGAAGAUGGGAGAUUUAGCUACCAUUCUUCAACUACCUGACCAAUGCAAAAUUUUGAUUGACAUAUAAUCAAAUUGAGCUUAUUUCUUUCUAAAUCUGAAGGGACAAAGAAAAAAACACAGCAAGAUUGUGUAAUUCAGAGACAUGUUAAGCACAGUAGAUCAAGAUUCAAAGCUAAUCUUGUUUUUGGCUGAUAGUUUCAAUAUUACCUAGAUUCUACAGCUAAUGAUGCUUUGAUCUUCGGCUUUAGUUGUUUUCCCACAUGGAAUCUGCAUAUCGCAUGUGCUGGGAUGGGAGUCACUGUUAUUGAAGGAAAAAUAACAUGGUACUGGCAUCAUCAAGCCACCAAUUUCCAAUUUUAUUGUGGAGGUGUUGGCUGAAUGGGACAGCUUCUGUUUUUGUUCUAAAUUAUUUGGUCUUUAGUGCCGUUUUGUUCUUCAAUAGUGCUUGAGUUUGUGGCUCAAUGGGCAUUGCAACUUGCAACUCAAGAUGAAUAUGGAUGGAGGAGCUUGCAUGAACUCUGUCCCUUCAGAUCUUUUUUCAGAAAAUGACAAGUGGUUAAUCGAUGUUCCAGGUCUACAGAAGGAUAUAGCUAAAAAUUAAAGCUGAAGUUCAAGUGUUUUACAAGUUAUAACUUGUCUCUCUCUACCCAGUAGGGAGAAAACUGUUGCUCUUUUUUUCUUUCUUCAUCUGAGGUGCUUGGUCUCUAUUGACUGCCGUUUAGCGGUUCCCUCUGCUACAAUUUAUAACUUGUCUCUCUCUACGCAGUUACAAGUUAUAGACAAAAUUUUUACAUGACCUUUCUUUUAGAUGUAGCCAUUAUUCUCAGCUAAAGUUUGUUCUUCAUUCCAUGCC